rnacentral:rRNA from 1 species
ACAGGGAUUGCCCUAGUAACGGCGAGUGAAGCGGCAACAGCUCAAAUUUGAAAUCUGGCGUCUUUGGCGUCCGAGUUGUAACUUGCAGAGGGCGCUUUGGCAUUGGCAGCGGUCCAAGUUCCUUGGAACAGGACGUCACAGAGGGUGAGAAUCCCGUACGUGGUCGCUAGCCUUUACCGUGUAAAGCCCCUUCGACGAGUCGAGUUGUUUGGGAAUGCAGCUCUAAAUGGGAGGUAAAUUUCUUCUAAAGCUAAAUACUGGCCAGAGACCGAUAGCGCACAAGUAGAGUGAUCGAAAGAUGAAAAGCACUUUGGAAAGAGAGUUAAAAAGCACGUGAAAUUGUUGAAAGGGAAGCGCUUGCAGCCAGACUUGCCUGUAGUUGCUCAUCCAGGUUUCUACCUGGUGCACUCUUCUAUAGGCAGGCCAGCAUCAGUUUGGGCGGUUGGAUAAAGGUCUCUGUCAUGUACCUCUCUUCGGGGAGAACUUAUAGGGGAGACGACAUGCAACCAGCCUGGACUGAGGUCCGCGCAUCUGCUAGGAUGCUGGCGUAAUGGCUGUAAGCGGCCCGUCUUGAAACACGGACCAAGGAGUCUAACAUCUAUGCGAGUGUUUGGGUGUCAAGCCCGAGCGCGUAAUGAAAGUGAACGGAGGUGGGAACCUUUCGGGGUGCACCAUCGACCGAUCCUGAUGUCUUCGGACGGAUUUGAGUAAGAGCAUAGCUGUUGGGACCCGAAAGAUGGUGAACUAUGCUUGAAUAGGGUGAAGCCAGAGGAAACUCUGGUGGAGGCUCGCAGCGGUUCUGACGUGCAAAUCGAUCGUCAAAUUGGGCAUAGGGGCGA